GACGAACGCUGGCGGCGUGCCUAAUACAUGCAAGUCGAGCGGACAGACGGGAGCUUGCUCCCUGCUGUUAGCUGCGGACGGGUGAUUAACACGUUGGUAACCUGCCUGUAAGACUGGGAUAACUCCGGGAAACCUGGGCUAAUACCGGAUGGUUGUCUGAACCGCAUGGUUCAGACAUAAAAGGUGGCUUCGGCUACCACUUACAGAUGGACCCGCGGCGCAUUCGCUAGUUGGUGUGGUAACGGCUCACCAAGGCAACGAUGCGUAGCCGACCUGAGAGGGUGAUCGGCAAAACUGGGACUGAGACACGGCCCAGACUCCUACGGGAGGCAGCAGUAGGGAAUCUUCCGCAAUGGACGAAAGUCUGAAGGAGCAACGCCGCGUGAGUGAUGAAGGUUGUAGGAUCGUAAAGCUCUGUUGUUAGGGAAGAACAAGUGCCGUUCAAAUAGGGCGGCACCUUGACGGUACCUAACCAGAAAGCCACGGCUAACUACGUG
rnacentral:rRNA from 1 species